UUUUAAAUUUUUUUUUUUUAGAAAGGAGAACUUGAUUCAGCUCUGCAUUAUUCAUUGGUGCAUAAUCAAGUGGAUUUCGUGAAGCUGUUUCUCGAGCGUGGCGUCAGUUUAAAGGACUUUUUAACCGUUCGAGAGUUGACUCUUCUUUACAAUGAGGUGAAAGAGAAAACUCUGAUUUACGAGUACUUGGACAAAGAGAGAGGAGGAAAGACCUCAAGAAAGUUUAAUCUGUGGGAUGUUGGGAAGUUAAUUGAAGAGAUGACGAUGGACUCAUACGAGCCACUUUACCUUCGGGAUCAACCACGUUACGUGUUGACAGAGGCCGAGAUUGUUUCGGGAAAGAAAAUGAGAGACGUCAUAGCAGAGAACGAGAGUGAGACUGGAGCUUUUGAGUCGAUGGGGCAACAUGCUUUAUCCAUGGGUAUAGCACAGGCUACCAAUGUUUUGGUACCAAAUAGUAAGUUAGGAUUUUUUUUGCUCAAUAUAUUUUUUAAUGUAUGCAUGUAUGUAAUUUUCAACUGGUACUGUGGGAUUUAACAGUAAUAAUCAUUGAAAAAUUAUAAUAUAUCUACGUGGUGUACUGCAAGCAUUAAAUAUAUUACUACUU